GACUGCAUAACAAAAUUCAAUUAAUUAGAUAAAAUUUUCGCUCCCUCCAAUAUUCGAACCCAGAUAAAAAAUUUAUGCAGUAUUAUAUUGCAGCUUAUGCAACAUUAUAUACUGGCUUAUGCAAUUAUUCUCAUUUCUCACGAAAAAUAAUAUUCUCAGUAUAACCCAUAAGCUCUGAUAACACUAUGCGUGGUAUCUAGAUAUUUCCUAAUUAGGAAAUAAUAUUAUCAGAGUAAUGGUAUUUAAUGUUGCUUAAUUAAGCAGACAAUAUUUAUGCAGCAGAUAAAUAUGAACCUUGUUUUUCAAAGAUUUUUAAGCUUUGUUUAGCUUUAUUUAAUUGAGGAAUAUAAAUUUCGUUUUUAACGAAAUCGUCAAGUUCUGGGUUUUCUAGAACACCUUCAAGAUAAUUUAUAAGAUUAUUAAUGCAUUUUAUUUUUUCUUUUAAUUUUUUAAAAUAAUCA
rnacentral:lncRNA from 1 species